CGGCGCACGGGUGAGUAACACGUAUCCAACCUGCCGAUAACUCGGGGAUAGCCUUUCGAAAGAAAGAUUAAUACCCGAUGGUAUAAUCAGACCGCAUGGUCUUGUUAUUAAAGAAUUUCGGUUAUCGAUGGGGAUGCGUUCCAUUAGGCAGUUGGUGAGGUAGCGGCUCACCAAACCUUCGAUGGAUAGGGGUUCUGAGAGGAAGGUCCCCCACAUUGGAACUGAGACACGGUCCAAACUCCUACGGGAGGCAGCAGUGAGGAAUAUUGGUCAAUGGGCGCAGGCCUGAACCAGCCAAGUAGCGUGAAGGAUGACUGCCCUAUGGGUUGUAAACUUCUUUUAUAUGGGAAUAAAGUUUUCCACGUGUGGAAUUUUGUAUGUACCAUAUGAAUAAGGAUCGGCUAACUCCGUGCCAGCAGCCGCGGUAAUACGGAGGAUCCGAGCGUUAUCCGGAUUUAUUGGGUUUAAAGGGAGCGUAGGUGGACAGUUAAGUCAGUUGUGAAAGUUUGCGGCUCAACCGUAAAAUUGCAGUUGAUACUGGCUGUCUUGAGUACAGUAGAGGUGGGCGGAAUUCGUGGUGUAGCGGUGAAAUGCUUA
rnacentral:rRNA from 1 species